UACGUAGGGGGGCAAGCGUUGUCCGGAAUCAUUGGGCGUAAAGAGCGUGUAGGCGGCCCGGUAAGUCCGCUGUGAAAGUCGAGGGCUCAACCCUCGAAUGCCGGCGGAUACUGUCGGGCUAGAGUCCGGAAGAGGCGAGUGGAAUUCCUGGUGUAGCGGUGAAAUGCGCAGAUAUCAGGAGGAACACCUACGGCGAAGGCAGCUCGCUGGGACGGUACUGACGCUGAGACGCGAAAGCGUGGGGAGCAAACAGG
rnacentral:rRNA from 1 species